rnacentral:lncRNA from 1 species
AUGCUUUCUCCUGUUUUGAAGAGGCGGAUCUUUCCUGCAUAUUCCAUCAUUUUGUGAUUUGAGAGUUUGAAGUGUAAGGACUAAGGAGAAAGAGUAGGGUAUACGGGUCAUUAUAUUAUUAAUUGUAUUGGAAGAAUUGGACGGACAAAGAUCAAAAUAGUUGUUUCAGAUAACUCAUUAUCACAUGGUCACUUUCAAAAAGCACAUCCAAACACCGUUUUAAUUCCAUGUAACGGUAUGGUAAAAAAGAGUUUAACAUGCUCACAAUUUUUUUUAAGAAAUGAAACACAAACUACACUUAAGUGACAGAUAAGUUAUAUUUAAGAAAUGAUUUAGUAAAAAGGGUAAGUACCAUCCCGUCGAAUGCAUAUCUCAGGUAUGUUUUUAACUUCACCAUUGAUACUAUCGUUAUAAACUCUUGUUUCAAUAUCACCUUCUACAUAAACUGAAGAGCUGCACAUCAUGACAAAAUAAAGAUACAAACACACAUAAUAAAAAUAACUAUGUAAAAAAAAUUACUUUUUGGUGAGUUGUUGAACGGCAUAAGCCCCAAGUAUUUCAUUGUGCACAGCAAUUCGGUGCCAUUGAGCAGGUUUUGGCUCCAAUUGUUCGUUGAUCAAACAUGCCACCCGUCCCAACUGUAAAAAUGGUCACAGUUUUACCAUUUCUUAGGAUCUUUUGCAGAGGUGCUUGCCCCACCUUUCCGCAUAUAAUUGCCUGUAAAAAUAAUCCCAUAACUUGACUUGGAACGUGAAACGUAAAUAUUUUGAUGAUAAUGGGAUUGAAAGAGUAAGUACCUACCUACCUUAUGCACACCACGGAAGCCCCAACCUUUUCUGGGAUCAACCCCUUGCAACUGUAACUCGGGUUUUUCAGGGAGGAAAUCAUCAUCCUCUAUGGGAGCAGAUGAAGAGUACAGAUUCUUCGACCUUCCUACUAUGCACAUGUAUGUGUAUUGGUCAAAAUCCCAUUUUAUAAAAACAAAAUAAAGAGAGAUACCUAAUGAAGGAGUGCGGGAGACCACGCGUAGCGAUCUUGUCAGCUUCGUAGCAACUGAACUCAUCAUAUUUAGCACUUCAACUCCUAGCCUAGGUAACAAAUUUGAAGUCUAAAAUCGGGUAAGGCUCAAUCGGGUACAAUUGGAAUCGGGUUUUUGAUCAAACCAGACCCGGGUACUACACGUAUCAUGGGGUACCUUGUAGGGCCGAGUAUGGUUAUAAUAUAAUGCAUUUGACCGUUGGUACUAGAGGUAUAGGUCGGGUCCGGUUUCUACCCGAAAAUUGGGUACAACCAAUCAUGUUUAAAAUAAAAGGGAUUUGACCGUUGGAACCAGUUCCUAAUGGUAAUAUAGCCGUUUGGAACCAGUUAUUUACCAUUUUAGCCCUCCUAAUUUACAAUUUAGUAUAAAUAGGUGUUGAAUGUUUAUGUUUGAUUACACCACUUUUCUAAUUCUCAAACGCUCUCUAAAAUGAAAAACGGCUUAACCCUCUCAACCUUUUUUUCUAUCACCACCAACGAUGGCAAACAAUGAAGAAGUUAUUUUGGCACUUGAAAUAUUAACAAUCUUACAAUUUGAAGUGUCAGCAGACAGCAGUCGUAGGAAGUUUAGAUAAAGAUAAAUAUUGACACUUUGAUCGCUUAGACAUAUCCUGAUAUAUUCGACAACAAAAGUUAAAAAUCAAAAUAAAUUCAUAAAGGGCCUUGAACAAUUAUCUGAUGAAAAUCGUACACAUUCAUCAUUAGUAAUCAAUAAACAAAGAAACAAUUGCAAUUUGAUUAUAAGUAUCAUGAAAUAGUAAAAUGUCAUGAAUAAAUCGGAUAAGAAAAUGUUUAUGUUGACAUACUCAAAGUAACUGUUUUACUCGUCUAAUAGUAAAUGACACAUUGACCGGUACUUAUAAUGUUUUAUACAUGGUUAUAAUUAUUUAUACAUGAUUAUAAUGUUUUAUACAUCUACGCUUAGGGUAAUGAUUACAUUAGUAUUUUAGAUGUUUAUUGUUCUUCCUAUUAGUGGGGUAGGGGCACUCCACUAGUGAUGAAAUUCCGUCACUCACAACAUCCAAUCAAGUUCCGCCACAUCAUCGAGCUUCGUUCCGUCACUAGUGAUGGAUUUUAGUGGAAAUGCCCAUCACUAGUGAUGGUUUCUUUUUAUUUUAAAAUAUAAAUUAACAAUAAAACAAGGGUAAAUUACACUUUCGUCCUUUAUGUUUGUAUCGGAUUGCAACGGAUAGCCUUUAACUUCAAUAAUUACAGUCACAAUCCUUUAUUUGGAAAACGCAUUACACCUUUCGUCCUUUAACACUAAACCAAUUAAAAUUUUCAGUACACUCUAGUCAUGUGCAUUGCACAUGAGGGCAAUUCAGUUAACUCUAGUCAUGUGCAUAUCCAUCUAUUUAUUAGUUAAGACUAAGAUUAAAUGAGUGAAAUUG